UACGGAGGGGGCUAGCGUUGUUCGGAAUUACUGGGCGUAAAGCGCAUGUAGGCGGACUGUUAAGUCGGGGGUGAAAUCCUGGAGCUCAACUCCAGAACUGCCUUUGAUACUGAAGAUCUUGAGUCCGGAAGAGGAGAAUGGAAUUCCUGGUGUAGCGGUGAAAUGCGCAGAUAUCAGGAAGAACACCCGUGGCUAAGGCGGUUCUCUAGUACGGUACUGACGCUGAGACGCGAAAGCGUGGGGAGCGAACAGG
rnacentral:rRNA from 1 species